GGGGGAUAUUGCACAAUGGGGGAAACCCUGAUGCAGCGACGCCGCGUGGAGGAAGAAGGUUUUCGGAUUGUAAACUCCUGUCGUUAGGGACGAUAAUGACGGUACCUAACAAGAAAGCACCGGCUAACUACGUGCCAGCAGCCGCGGUAAAACGUAGGGUGCAAGCGUUGUCCGGAAUUACUGGGUGUAAAGGGAGCGCAGGCGGACCAGCAAGUUGGAAGUGAAAACUAUGGGCUCAACCCAUAAAUUGCUUUCAAAACUGCUGGCCUUGAGUAGUGCAGAGGUAGGUGGAAUUCCCGGUGUAGCGGUGGAAUGCGUAGAUAUCGGGAGGAACACCAGUGGCGAAGGCGACCUACUGGGCACCAACUGACGCUGAGGCUCGAAAGCAUGGGUAGCAAACAGGAUUAGAUACCCUGGUAGUCCAUGCCGUAAACGAUGAUUACUAGGUGUUGGAGGAUUGACCCCUUCAGUGCCGCAGUUAACACAAUAAGUAAUCCACCUGGGGAGUACGACCGCAAGGUUGAAACUCAAAGGAAUUGACGGGGGCCCGCACAAGCAGUGGAGUAUGUGGUUUAAUUCGAAGCAACGCGAAGAACCUUACCAGGUCUUGACAUCCGAUGCAUAGCUUAGAGAUAAGUGAAGUCCUUCGGGACAUCGAGACAGGUGGUGCAUGGUUGUCGUCAGCUCGUGUCGUGAGAUGUUGGGUUAAGUCCCGCAACGAGCGCAACCCUUAUUGCCAGUUACUACGAAAGAGGACUCUGGCGAGACUGCCGUUGACAAAACGGAGGAAGGUGGGGAUGACGUCAAAUCAUCAUGCCCUUUAUGACCUGGGCUACACACGUACUACAAUGGCGUUUAACAAAGAGAAGCAAGACCGCGAGGUGGAGCAAAACUCAAAAACAACGUCUCAGUUCAGAUUGCAGGCUGCAACUCGCCUGCAUGAAGUCGGAAUUGCUAGUAAUCGCGGAUCAGCAUGCCGCGGUGAAUACGUUCCCG
rnacentral:rRNA from 2 species